rnacentral:rRNA from 1 species
UGGGGAAUAUUGGACAAUGGGGGCAACCCUGAUCCAGCCAUGCCGCGUGAGUGAUGAAGGCCUUCGGGUUGUAAAGCUCUUUUGGCGGGGACGAUGAUGACGGUACCCGCAGAAUAAGCCCCGGCUAACUUCGUGCCAGCAGCCGCGGUAAGACGAAGGGGGCUAGCGUUGUUCGGAAUUACUGGGCGUAAAGCGAGUGUAGGCGGUUGCCGUAGUCAGGUGUGAAAGCCUUGAGCUCAACUCAAGAAAUGCACUUGAUACUGGGUGACUAGAGGACCGGAGAGGAUAGUGGAAUUCCCAGUGUAGUGGUGAAAUACGUAGAGAUUGGGAAGAACACCAGUGGCGAAGGCGGCUAUCUGGACGGUUACUGACGCUAAGACUCGAAAGCGUGGGGAGCAAACAGGAUUAGAUACCCUGGUAGUCCACGCCGUAAACGAUGGGUGCUAGACGUUGGCGAGCUUGUCGUCAGUGUCGCAGCUAACGCGU